GGAUUGUGGCUCAGUGGUAGAGCAUUUGCCUUGCACAUGUGAGGCACUGGGUUCAAUCCUCAGCACCA
rnacentral:tRNA from 1 species